rnacentral:rRNA from 1 species
GACAGAGGGUGCAAACGUUGUUCGGAUUUACUGGGCGUAAAGCGCGUGUAGGCGGCUUGGCAAGUUGGAUGUGAAAGCCCACGGCUCAACCGUGGAAGCGCAUCCAAAAACUGCUUCGCUCGAGUCUCGGAGAGGAAGGUGGAAUGCUUGGUGUAGAGGUGAAAUUCGUAGAUAUCAAGCAGAACACCUGCGGCGAAGGCGGCCUUCUGGACGAUGACUGACGCUGAGACGCGAAAGCGUGGGUAGCAAACAGG